rnacentral:hammerhead_ribozyme from 1 species
GUUGACAUGACGAGUCCCAAACAGGACGAAAUGCGCAUCCUGGAU